AUAUCAUAAGCGGAGGAAAAGAAACCAACAGGGAUUGCCUCAGUAACGGCGAGUGAAGCGGCAACAGCUCAAAUUUGAAAUCUGGCCCCUUCGGGGCCCGAGUUGUAAUUUGCAGAGGAUGCUUCGGCUUCGGCGCCGGUCUAAGUUCCUUGGAACGGGACGUCGCAAAGGGU
rnacentral:rRNA from 1 species